rnacentral:rRNA from 1 species
AGCGAACGCUGGCGGCAGGCUUAACACAUGCAAGUCGAGCGGGCACUUCGGUGUCAGCGGCAGACGGGUGAGUAACACGUGGGAACGUACCCUUUGGUUCGGAAUAACGCUGGGAAACUAGCGCUAAUACCGGAUACGCCCUUUUGGGGAAAGGCUUGCUGCCGAAGGAUCGGCCCGCGUCUGAUUAGCUAGUUGGUGGGGUAAUGGCCUACCAAGGCGACGAUCAGUAGCUGGUCUGAGAGGAUGAUCAGCCACACUGGGACUGAGACACGGCCCAGACUCCUACGGGAGGCAGCAGUGGGGAAUAUUGGACAAUGGGCGCAAGCCUGAUCCAGCCAUGCCGCGUGAGUGAUGAAGGCCUUAGGGUUGUAAAGCUCUUUUGUCCGGGACGUUAAUGACGGUACCGGAAGAAUAAGCCCCGGCUAACUUCGUG